GUGAGUAACCUGCCCCUGACUCUGGGAUAAGCGUUGGAAACGACGUCUAAUACUGGAUAUGACUGCCGGCCGCAUGGUCUGGUGGUGGAAAGAUUUUUUGGUUGGGGAUGGACUCGCGGCCUAUCAGCUUGUUGGUGAGGUAAUGGCUCACCAAGGCGACGACGGGUAGCCGGCCUGAGAGGGUGACCGGCCACACUGGGACUGAGACACGGCCCAGACUCCUACGGGAGGCAGCAGUGGGGAAUAUUGCACAAUGGGCGAAAGCCUGAUGCAGCAACGCCGCGUGAGGGAUGACGGCCUUCGGGUUGUAAACCUCUUUUAGUAGGGAAGAAGCGAAAGUGACGGUACCUGCAGAAAAAGCACCGGCUAACUACGUGCCAGCAGCCGCGGUAAUACGUAGGGUGCAAGCGUUGUCCGGAAUUAUUGGGCGUAAAGAGCUCGUAGGCGGUUUGUCGCGUCUGCUGUGAAAUCCCGAGGCUCAACCUCGGGCUUGCAGUGGGUACGGGCAGACUAGAGUGCGGUAGGGGAGAUUGGAAUUCCUGGUGUAGCGGUGGAAUGCGCCAGAUAUCAGGAGGAACACCGAUGGCGAAGGCAGAUCUUCUGGGCCGUAACUGACGCUGAGGAGCGAAAGCGUGGGGAGCGAACAGGAUUAGAUACCCUGGUAGUCCACGCCGUAAACGUUGGGCGCUAGAUGUAGGGACCUUUUCCACGGUUUCUGUGUCGUAGCUAACGCAUUAAGCGCCCCGCCUGGGGAGUACGGCCGCAAGGCUAAAACUCAAAGGAAUUGACGGGGGCCCGCACAAGCGGCGGAGCAUGCGGAUUAAUUCGAUGCAACGCGAAGAACCUUACCAAGGCUUGACAUACACCGGAAACGGCCAGAGAUGGUCGCCCCCUUGUGGUCGGUGUACAGGUGGUGCAUGAUUGUCGUCAGCUCGUGUCGUGAGAUGUUGGGUUAGGUCCCGCAACGAGCGCAACCCUCGUUCUAUGUUGCCAGCGCGUUAUGGCGGGGACUCAUAGGAGACUGCCGGGGUCAACUCGGAGGAAGGUGGGGAUGACGUCAAAUCAUCAUGCCCCUUAUGUCUUGGGCUUCACGCAUGCUACAAUGGCCGGUACAAAGGGCUGCGAUACCGUAAGGUGGAGCGAAUCCCAAAAAGCCGGUCUCAGUUCGGAUUGAGGUCUGCAACUCGACCUCAUGAAGUCGGAGUCGCUAGUAAUCGCAGAUCAGCAACGCUGCGGUGAAUACGUUCCCGGGCCUUGUACACACCGCCCGUCAAGUCUUGA
rnacentral:rRNA from 1 species